rnacentral:rRNA from 1 species
AACGAACGCUGGCGGCGCGCUUAACACAUGCAAGUCGAACGAGAAGGCGUAGCAAUACGCUUGUAAAGUGGCGAACGGGUGAGGAAUACAUGGGUAACCUACCCUCGAGUGGGGGAUAACCCGCCGAAAGGCGGGCUAAUACCGCGUACGCUUCCGAUCUUGCGGGAUCGGAAGGAAAGCUGUCCCAAGGGGAUGGCGCUCAAGGAUGGGCUCAUGUCCUAUCAGCUUGUUGGUAGGGUAACGGCCACCAAGGCAUCGACGGGUAGCUGGUCUGAGAGGAUGGCCGGCCACAUUGGGACUGAGAGACGGCCCAGACUCCUACGGGAGGCAGCAGUGGGGAAUCUUGCGCAAUGGCCGAAAGCCUGACGCAGCGACGCCGCGUGAGGGAUGACGGCCUCGG